UCCGUAGGCGGGCUAAUAAGUCAGGGGUGAAAUCACACAGCUUAACUGUGGAACUGCCUUUGAUACUGUUAGUCUUGAGUUAUAUGGAAGUAGAUAGAAUGUGUAGUGUAGCGGUGAAAUGCAUAGAUAUUACACAGAAUACCGAUUGCGAAGGCAGUCUACUACGUAUAUACUGACGCUAAUGGACGAAAGCGUGGGGAGCGAACAGGAUUAGAUACCCUGGUAGUCC
rnacentral:rRNA from 1 species